AGCUCAUCUGUCAUCUGUGAAACAUUUUUUUAGCUACAUUUUGUUUUGUUCAUUUUAUUUCUAUAAAAACAAUUUAGUGAUCAUUUUUGCUAUAAAAAUUAAAUUAUUUAUUUCAAAAAUAGGUACUUAUCAACAUUCAACAAAAUGUCCAACAACAUGCACGACAUUCGGCGAACAAGAAAAUCUUCCAAAAUUUACUCAACAAGUUACAACACGUUUGAGUGAAAAUAUCUUGGCAACUUAAGCAUUAAAAGCAAAAAAAAAACGUAAAAUCAAAGGAAUGCAAGAGAGAAAUUCCAUAUGCCGAACACCUCCAAGAGCUGUGAGAAGAACUGGCCAAGGACCCAAUUUGUUUUGGGUGCUACGAAGAGAAUCAGCUUCCAAAAGGGUCGACAAAGAAGGCAAAUAUUGAAAAGAACUUCCCAUGAUGAUUAAUUGAUGAUUAUUUGGACUCGAAUUCCGAUUUAAAUGUAUGGUCAGAGAAGAGGAAAGUUCUUCAACCGAAGUUAAAUGCCUUAGUUGAAAUUCGACUGAUGAUAAGACUUCUAUGAUCAAAUAGCCCACCUGUUGGAAACGUCAAAAAAAAAUUAUCAUUUGAACGAUUUGAUUGUCGCAAGUCCAGAACACUCAUUGCUUAGAGAAAUCAUCUAGAUGCUUAACUCGCUUCAAAAUUCUUCAAAGCAGUUGACAACGAUGUCCAAGUACAAGGGAUUGGGUUCGAUUCCCAGCUUAAGUGUGGCAACGGAUGAUUCGCAAAAAGACUACAAAAGCAUCCCGAAACUAUUCCAGCCAGAUCGUUGUUUCAUCAAAGAAACCUAAAAUCCAAUAUUCGGCUGUUUUGUCGGAAAAGCGUUUUGGAAAACUACGCAAUUGGAAAAUAUUCCACCCGAGCAAUAAUUGGAGAUUAAACAAUGAAUGCUCAAUGCAUUUAUCCAGGAGCAAGAAAAAUCCGUUCGCAAUGCCAUUGCGCAGCUUAUUGGUGUUUCGAUUCAUUAUGAAAAGAAGGGAUAAUGGAUCCAAGAGGUCUUGCAAUUUGUAUACAGCAAUUGCAGUUCGGUUGAUCGAAAACAAAGUGAAUUGGGAUCAUCGAUCUUUGCUCAAUAACCGAUGUAGCACCAGAACAAUUUGUCGCUCUCAUGAAAUCUAUUAUGGUGAUAUUUUGACCGCUGCUUUAACUGCUACCAAAACCAGUGGAAAUAUGGCUACUCUUCUAACAAUCAAAGUGGAGAUGAAUCUAUCAGCAGUAUGGAGGAAAUCCAAAGGCAACUAAAUGAACAACAGCAUACAAUCUUUGAGAUAAAUGCUGCUAGCUGAAUAAAAUGCAAAAUUCGUUGGAGAAAUUGCAUCACUUCAACAAGAAAACGAUAAGCUAGAAGGCGAAAAGAAUUUUCUCAAAUCGAAAUUAGAUCAAAUGAAGGCUGAGUUCCAUUUGGACAUAAUCAAAGCCCUGGAA